rnacentral:misc_RNA from 1 species
AGUUAUGUUGAUUGCAAAGCUUCAACAUAGAAAUUUAGCGAAACUUCUAGGAUGCUGCAUUAAGGGAGCAGAGCAAAUGCUAAUUUAUGAAUAUUUGCCAAACAAAAGCUUGGAUUCAUUUCUUUUUGGUAAGCAUUUUUGCUCAUCUGUUGCUUUGAGGUAAACUGGCUGUCCAUUUUUUACUGUUUCAGAACAAAUAUGGUUGAGAUGUACAACCAUAGACUGCAUAAUUUGACACGUUAACUCAAAAGAAGAAUAUCUAAAAUUUUGUCGUAGAUGGAACAAGAAAAUCAUUAUUGGAUUGGACAAGACGCUUCAAUAUUAUAAUGGGGACUGCCCGUUACAUUUUAUAUUUUCACCCAGACUUAAGGUUGAGAAUUAUUCAUAAAGAUCUAAAAUGUAGCAAUAUAUUAUUUGACGAAGAAACGAACCAAAAAAUUUCAGAUUUUGGUAUAACUAGAAUAUUCAAAGCCGACCAAAUUAAAAAAAAGACAAAUAGAAUUAUUGGAAUAUAGUAAGUAUAUGAUGAUACGGUAGCUGAUCACUAUGAAUGUCAUGAAUACUCACUUGUUCAGUCUAAUUCAACAACUUUCUCAAUGCAGGGAGUAUAUGUCACCAGUGUUUGGAAAAUUUUCAAUAAAAUCUUAUAUAUCUAGUUAUGGGGUGAUAUUACUAGAGACUAUGAGUGGCACGAAGAGCAAUUGGUUUUACCAAGAGGAUUCUUCCUUGAGCUUGAUAGGACAUGCAAGUGAUAUAAACUUUUAGUUUUAGAUACAUAUGUUGGAUAGUUCAUCCUCGUAUGCUAAUGCUUUGAAUUCUACAGGUGUGGAAGUUAUGGAAAGAAGAUAGAGUGUUGGAGAUAGUUGAUUCAUCACUAGAAGGGUCAUAUUCACCCCAUGAAGUCUUGAGAUGCACUAAAAUUGGGCUCUUAUGUGUUCCAGAAAAUGCUAUGGACAGACCAACUGUGGCAGAAGUUGUACUGAUGUUGAGUAGUUAAACAGCUCUUCCCUCUCCAAAACAAUCAGCUUUCAUUUUUAGAACACUACUGAGUCAAAAUGAACACUGAAACUGGUGAUUCGUGCAAUUUAUGUCAAUGAAAAUAAAGUUACAUAACAGGCUAUGUUAGGGUCCAUUUCUGACUAUGAAUGUCAAUGAACACUGCCAAAGAGAAAACAACUUCAUCAUAAAGAAAAAAAAAUGUAUUGCACAGUGAUCACAUUCUUGCUAAAAUGGGGACAAUGCCACCUAAAUCCCGUAGUUACUACCUCAUUCUAGUUCACUCAUAGCUUAAAAAGGAACACCAAUAUAGUUAACAAUCCCUAAAUAAAUCUGCAGCAAAAGCAGACACUAAAAAGAUUCAUCACUAAAAGAAAGAAUUUUGCUUUCAUCACCAGAAGCUCCUGCCCUGCAAAGAAAUGAGAAACCACUGCUACCACUUUUAUAUGGCUGAAAACUUGGGAACAUCCACUGGGAAAUGGUGUAUCUCAUCCAUCCAUGGAUUCUUCUCCUUAGCUGGGCUUAUGGUCCGCAGAGCUUUCCAGACUGCACUGUUACAUUUGAAUCCAGAUCCAAAAGCUAUCUGCCACAUUCUGUCCCCCCUCUUCAUCCUUCCUUUGGCUUCUGUAUAAGCCAAUUCGUACCAAAGAGAGCUGCUUGAAGUAUUACCAAAUCGAUAUAGUGUCAUUCUUGAGGGUUCCAUAUGCCAAUGGGAAAGCUGAAGGUUUUUCUCCAAUUCAUCCAGCACAGCUCUUCCACCAGCAUGGAUACAAAAAUGCUCAAACGCCAGUUUGAAAUCUGGAAUGUAUGGCUUAAUCUUCAUCUUGAGAAGUUUCUUCCCCACCAAUGUGGUAAAGAAGAGCAGCUGUUCAGACAUUGGCAAAACAAGAGGGCCCAAGGUAGUGAUAUUAGUCUUUAAAGCAUCCCCAGCUACUCCCAUCAAAUCCUUAGACAAAGAAACUCCAAUGCGCCCAGUAGAAUCCUCUCUUUGAGUAACACAAGAGAAGCACUUAUCAUCAGCACCCUUGUGCGUCCUAACUGUAUGAACCAGUCUGUACUUGGAACGCCACCCCUCAGACCUUUUAUUGGAAAGCAUAAUGGCAGCCCCUCCCAUUCUAAACAAGCAAUUUGAAAGGAGCAUUGACCUGUCAUUCCCAAAGUACCAAUUCAAAGUAAUAUUUUCCAUGCUAAUGACCAAUGCAUAAGAAUUAGGAUGUACUUGAAGAAGAUCUUUAGCCAGAUCAAUUGAUAUCAAACCAGCACUGCAACCCAUGCCCCCCAGAUUAUAGCUAAUAAUAUUCCCUCGGAGUUUAUAAUGAUUAAUGAUCAUAGCAGAUAAAGAGGGAGUUGGAUUAAACAAGCUACAAUUCACAAUCAAGAUCCCAAUAUCUUUCGGUUUCAAAGAUGUUUUCUCAAAUAGUUGAUCGACUGCACCAAACAUCACGGCCUCAGCCUCUUUCCUCGCCUCUGCCAUACAUGGAUUUGGAGGAACUCUGAGUACAGCCUCAGGGAGAUAAGUUGACUCUCCAAGCCCAGACCUUUCAAGAAUUUUCCUUUGAAACUCAAGGCUUUGCUCAGCAAAAGAACCCGUUAACUGAGACCUUUCCAUAAAAAUCUGCCUAGUACAUUUUCUCAAAUCAUCAGGCUUAUAACAGGAGAAAUCUACAAGGUAAACAGGGCGGGGACGAGUGAGGAAGUAAAGGGUCAACAAAAACACAAGUAGGGUUGAACACAGGAUCACAGAUAUGAGAUUGAAUUUGAGAUGAUCCCAAAGGUCAUGGAGAUCUUGGACAGAGAAUGUAGAUAGCUGAGCAGCGACAAUGACAACAAGAGGAGAUAAAAACAGGUACAUUCCAUGGGUGAUAAGGUAAUGGUAGCCAAGCUUCACGUAUUUAAGCUUCACAGAUUGUUUAAAAUCUGGGAGUUUUGGAGAGGAUGAUGGAGGGAUCAAGGAUGAUUUGGGAUUUGAAUCAGACAUUGAUACUUUUUUUCCUUGACCAGAGACGUAGUGCUAGGUGUCUGGGAUUGAUGAGAUUGUCUAGUACUUGCAAUAAAAAUUGGAAUUUGGGUCUUUAGGAUUUUCAAGGUCUACCAGGAAAAUGGCUUCACAAAAGAUCUGUACUGAAUCAAAUAAUACAACAGAUUACAAGAACCUUAACAUCCCUUGAAUGAGAAAUCUGAGCAGAAAUGACCAAUCUUCAUGUCUGAGAAAAGAAAGAAGACGACAGAGGUUGAGAAAGUCCAGAGAGUUGGAAGUUUUGUAACGGACGACUGCUUUAGGUUGUCUUAACGCUUAAGCCUUUCACGUGUGAACCAACAUCACACCAUGUGCCGCGUAAUGUAAACUUAAUUGUUCUUGUAUAUUUAAAUUUAUUUUUUUUUAAAUUAG